rnacentral:tRNA from 1 species
UGGUCUGUAGUGAAAUGGUAUCACAGCACCCUUUUAAGGUGCAAAUUUCGGGUUCAAAUCCCGACAGACCAA